rnacentral:Y_RNA from 1 species
GGUUAUCAGUCCAAGUGCAGUGAUGUUUACAACUAAUUGAUCACAACCAGUUACAGGUUUCUUUGUUCCUCCUUCACUCCCACUGCUUCACUUCACUAGCCUUUA